rnacentral:rRNA from 1 species
GACGAACGCUGGCGGCGCGCUUAACACAUGCAAGUCGAGCGAAGCGGCGGACGGGAGAGUAACACGUGAGUAACCUGCCUUAGACAUUGGGAUAGCCUCGGGAAACCGGAAUUAAUACCAAAUGGUCUAAGAUGGACUCGCGUCCCAUUAGCGAGUUGGUGAGGUAACGGGCCACCAAGGCGACGUUGGGUAGCCGGCCGGAGAGGGUGACCGGCCACAUUUGAACGGAGAAACGUUCCAAACUCUACGGGAGGCAGCAGUGGGGAAUAUUGCACAAUGGAGUGAACUCUGAUGCAGCUACGCUGCGUGAACGAAGAAGGCUGUCGAGUCGUAAAGUUCUUUUAUAUGGGAAGCGGUACCAUAAGAAAAAGCCCCGGCUAACUACGUGCCAGCCGCCGCGGUAAUUC